GCCUCAGAAGAGAGUUUCAGCACUCCUGAGCUGUGCAGAAGGACACCAUUGCAUUUGUGCACACAGGAAGCGUAAUUGGGAGGGCAUAUGGACAGGGCACCCACAGCCCCUAUUGAAAGCUAGACAUAGGCAGCUGGGCUUGUCUUAGGACCCUAAUCAGUGACUGUUGACUGGACCAAGGGCACACCUGACCAAGGAAGAAGCAAUGUGCGUGGCUUGAGAAAAUGAGAUUCUCUGGAAAUGUGAAUGAAUAACUGGAGUCGUAGUGGGCGUGGUCCUGGACAUUGGCCUGCUAAAGUGGGAGCUAGAAUGGGUACUGCAGGAAGAGUAAAGCCUGUGGGUGGGUGGAAUAUGGCAGACAGGAAGAGCCUUACUAGCAAGACAAUCUGUGGGGAGAAGCAGAUGAAUGGAAGAGAGGGGGCAAAAGGGAGAGGGAGAGACAGAUGAGAAUUCAGGCAACCGUAUGGGAGCCAGAAGACUUGUAUCUCUACUGCUGGUUUGAGUUCCUGUGUAAAUGCUCAGCUGUCCUUUACUUCCCAUCCUUGGAUGCUGGUCUGCAUUUGCAGUUGGAGUAAAGUUUUUGCGACUAGAGACUGGGUAGAUUGUAGAGAGCUGGAGUAACGUGGCAGAGCAGGUAAGAGGUGACCAGGUAUGACAGGUGGGAAGCUGGGGG
rnacentral:lncRNA from 1 species